rnacentral:rRNA from 1 species
CAAGGUUUGACAUCACCCGUGGACCUGUAGAGAUACAGGGUCAUUUAGUUGGUGGGUGACAGGUGGUGCAUGGCUGUCGUCAGCUCGUGUCGUGAGAUGUUGGGUUAAGUCCCGCAACGAGCGCAACCCUUGUUCCAUGUUGCCAGCACGUAAUGGUGGGGACUCAUGGGAGACUGCCGGGGUCAACUCGGAGGAAGGUGGGGACGACGUCAAGUCAUCAUGCCCCUUAUGUCUUGGGCUGCAAACAUGCUACAAUGGCCGGUACAAUGGGCGUGCGAUACCGUAAGGUGGAGCGAAUCCCUUAAAGCCGGUCUCAGUUCGGAUUGGGGUCUGCAACUCGACCCCAUGAAGGUGGAGUCGCUAGUAAUCGCGGAUCAGCAACGCCGCGGUGAAUACGUUCCCGGGCCUUGUACA